rnacentral:rRNA from 1 species
AUUGAGCGCUGGCGGCAGGCUUAACACAUGCAAGUCGAGCGGGGUGAUGGUGCUUGCACUAUCACUUAGCGGCAGACGGGUGAGUAAUGCUUAGGAAUCUGCCUAUUAGUGGGGGACAACAUCUCGAAAGGGAUGCUAAUACCGCAUACGUCCUACGGGAGAAAGCAGGGGAUCACUUGUGACCUUGCGCUAAUAGAUGAGCCUAAGUCGGAUUAGCUAGUUGGUGGGGUAAAGGCCGACCAAGGCGACGAUCUGUAGCGGGUCUGAGAGGAUGAUCCGCCACACUGGGACUGAGACACGGCCCAGACUCCUACGGGAGGCAGCAGUGGGGAAUAUUGGACAAUGGGGGGAACCCUGAUCCAGCCAUGCCGCGUGUGUGAAGAAGGCCUUAUGGUUGUAAAGCACUUUAAGCGAGGAGGAGGCUCUUUUGGUUAAUACCCAAGAUGAGUGGACGUUACUCGCAGAAUAAGCACCGGCUAACUCUGUGCCAGCCGCCGCCGUAA